rnacentral:rRNA from 1 species
GAUGAGCGCUGGCGGCGUGCCUAAUACAUGCAAGUCGAGCGAACAGACGAGGAGCUUGCUCCUCUGACGUUAGCGGCGGACGGGUGAGUAACACGUGGAUAACCUACCUAUAAGACUGGGAUAACUUCGGGAAACCGGAGCUAAUACCGGAUAAUAUAUUGAACCGCAUGGUUCAAUAGUGAAAGACGGUUUUGCUGUCACUUAUAGAUGGAUCCGCGCCGCAUUAGCUAGUUGGUAAGGUAACGGCUUACCAAGGCAACGAUGCGUAGCCGACCUGAGAGGGUGAUCGGCCACACUGGAACUGAGACACGGUCCAGACUCCUACGGGAGGCAGCAGUAGGGAAUCUUCCGCAAUGGGCGAAAGCCUGGCGGAGCAACGCCGCGUGAGUGAUGAAGGUCUUCGGAUCGUAAAACUCUGUUAUUAGGGAAGAACAAAUGUGUAAGUAACUAUGCACGUCUGGACGGUACCUAAUCAGAAAGCCACGGCUAACUACGU